ACAGAGUUGGUGAAAUGGUUAUCAUGGGCCGUUGCCAUAAGCAGCAUUUCGGCCCGGUCGGGGUUCGAUUCCCCGACUCUGUA
rnacentral:tRNA from 1 species